UCAGACGUGUGUGUGGUUGGAGACCCCUGGUAUACAGGAAGUAUUCAGCUCAGACGUGUGUGUGUGGUUGGUACCCCUGGUAUACAGGAAGUAUGCAGCUCAGACGUGUGUGUGGUUGGAGACCCCUGGUAUACAGGAAGUAUUCAGCUCAGACGUGUGUGUGGUUGGUACCCCUGGUAUACAGGAAGUAUGCAGCUCAGACACGUGUGUGUGUGGUUGGAGACCCCUGGUAUACAGGAAGUAUUCAGCUCAGAC
ensembl:lncRNA